rnacentral:rRNA from 1 species
UUAUGGCUCAGGAUGAACGCUGGCGGCGUGCUUAAUACAUGCAAGUCGAACGGACAAAGUCAGAAAGCUUGCUUCUGAUCGAGUUAGUGGCGAACGGGUGAGUAAUACGUAGGCAACCUGCCCCAAAGCGGGGGAUAGCUGUUGGAAACGACGAUUAAUACCGCAUAGGUAAUCGGGAGGCAUCUUCUGAUUAUUAAAGGUGCGUUUGCACCGCUGUGGGAUGGGCUUACGCUGUAUUAGCUUGUUGGUGAGGUAACGGCCCACCAAGGCGAUGAUACAUAGCCGGUCUGAGAGGAUGAACGGCCACAUUGGGACUGAGACACGGCCCAGACUCCUACGGGAGGCAGCAGUAAGGAAUAUUGGGCAAUGGGCGAAAGCCCUGACCCAGCAACGCCGCGUGAGGGAAGAAGGGUUUCGGCUCGUAAACCUCUGUCCUAUGGGACGAAGGAAGUGACGGUACCAUAGGAGGAAGCCCCGGCUAACUACGUGCCAGCCGCUGC